AGCAGAGGAGGUUUCCACCGGGGCGACCUGGGAACACGUCUACAUUAAUGUAAUCUCUUGAUUUCUCCAUGAGUCCUGUGAAUGUGAAUGUGUUCCAAGGUCACCCCAGUCGAGCCUACUCUCU
rnacentral:pre_miRNA from 1 species